rnacentral:rRNA from 1 species
CACGUAGGGUGCGAGCGUUGUCCGGAAUUAUUGGGCGUAAAGAGCUCGUAGGCGGUGUGUCGCGUCGGCCGUGAAAACCUGCAGCUUAACUGUGGGCGUGCGGUCGAUACGACCGCCCUGGAGCGACGUAGGGGGAACUGGAACUUCCGGUGGAGCGGUGAAAUGCGUUGAGAUCGGAAGGAACGCCCGUGGCGAAGGCAGCUCGCUGGGACGGUACUGACGCUGAGGCGCGAAAGCGUGGGGAGCAAACAGG